AUUUUACUCUUUUACAUGCAUUUAUUGUUUUGCUAAUCAAGUGCUUGCAUUGUCUAACUUUAGCCAUUUAGCAGUUUGUCUAAAACACAUCUUUGACAGGUAACUUUAGCCUACUUAAAACAAAAAAAGGAAUUGUGAAAUAUCUAUAUUUGUCCAAGUGCUUUAUGUCUCUGCACCAUUGUGCUGUAUCUGUUUUCUCUUCAUUCUGCCAUCGCAGCACAGAUUUGUUAAAUAAAAUAUCAGCUACACAGUAACCUAAAAGUCGUUUCGUUACAGGCCCAGUUGUGUUAGGAUUUCCGACUAUACGUACUUGAACGCACCAAGGGGUAGGAUUUACAAUUCAGGAGAAGUCAAGACACGAAGUUUAUAAGGUGGCAUUGAACGCAGCACACGGCUCCGUAUUUUUUUCACUGCAAUAGAGGGGAGGGAGAAGGGGGGGUAUUUGACUCCUGUCUCCCCACCCCCAGUCCGUACGAGGUGGAUUAAGGAAGAAAGGAACCAAAACCUGGGACGCGGAGAUAACGAGAGCCACCAAUAAAGAGAUACACAUUUGAGAUCCGCGCGCGGCGGUGUCGCGCACGGAUUAUUAUAGGGUAUUUACUUUUUCGUUCACUGAGGAGAUUCUGGCUCGCAGCGUCUGAUGUGGGGGAAAGGAAUACAAACGAACGGGGAAUAAUAGCAGUAUUUUAUACUCUCUCCCUCCGUCAACAAGUGACUGCUCAAGAAAGUGGAAUAUAGCGGGGAUUUUUCUACCGUCGGGGAUGCAAAGUAACUGCUUUUCUGAGGGGAGACGACCGCUCAUCCACAACGAAUACGGAUUUUAAAAUCUGCCCCCCCCCCCCAGUAAACCAACUAGGGGGUAGUUUCAGAAAUACUUUUUCUCACGCCGUUAAAAGUGCCAUACCGUCCUGCGUGAAUACCCCCAACCUUCCCUGCGCAGUCGGGGCCUCGGCUCUCCAGCCAGGUCAAAGACCAGUCCCACCCCACCCCUCCCUGCCCCCCUUUCCCUACUGGAGCCAAGAUGGCCACAAGCGGUGCCCCUCGCCUCUCCUUGCCACUCCUGCUGCCUGUCACCACUCUGCUGCUAUCACUGCUGCUCACCGGCUCCCACGCCUUAUGUAAGUACCAAGACACUGAGUAGCCGUGCUGCUACCAAUAACUUAGUAUGUAGUGCCCUUUAGAGGGCCAUUGUUCAUAUACCUUGGAAAUGGAAUAUUGCAGAAAGGUGGUGGAUGGCAAGUAAACAAAGCAUCGGUGAACAUUUCCUUUCCUAGAGCUUUACAUAGAGAUACUUCGGCUGCGUUCUGCUACUGUCCUCUUGAGUUUGCUUUUGGUGAGCAUGUAGAGGCAUAUCUUAUUAUCUUAAAUCGUUAAUAUCUCAUCUUGCAAAUCUUCAUCUCCGAAAGGUAUGUCAUGUAUAGGAUGUCUCUGCUUUUGCCUCAGCCAAAGAACAUAAGAAUGUCAGUACAACCUGAAGGGCUAGUUUUGACUUGUAAUGUUAAUUGGCAUUCUUACAUCUGCAUUAAUAUUUGUAUUAAACUUGUGAUGAGUGAGCAUGUAGGGCCUCCAUGAUUUUGCUCAAAGACGAGGAUAUGUGACUGUUGAUGGACACGUUCACUGUUACAAAUACUUAAAAUGAAAGUUUUCGGCUGUCACAUUUUUCAGAUACACAUCAGCCCCACCCGGGCCUUUUUAAAUCACGGAUGUCUUAAAGAUAUUUAUCAUUUAGAUAUGAUGCCUGUCCGUAUAAAUCGUCCUCCAUAACUCGGCAUAACAGAGGAACGACAGUAGUCUCUUAUACCACCCUGUCAACUCCUGCUUAGGAUUUGUUCUGCACCAUUUCCCCGUUAAGAUGGGCUUAGAGCAGCAUUAAGGAGACAAAACAAAGAGGAGGCUCUGUAGAGAAAUAGAACAAGAGUGAUGGCGAGGUGGGGAGGCUCCCCCUUGGGUAUCAUUGUUUGUAAAUCCUGUGUGUGUGUGUGUGGCUAAGUGUGAUGGUGAGAAUGUAAAAGAAUUAUAUAUGUAUGACGUCGUCGAAUGUUUGUACGUCUGUAGAUCAUUCUGAGCGUGUGUGUGUGUGUGUGGAAGUGUGUCAGUUUAUGCGACAUGUGAAUGAUGUGUGCGCACAUUUCUAAGGAAAGGCAGGGCUAGGACAUCGCCUCGUUUUUAUCGGAUCUAAUCUGUUCCGCUUCCUCUCAGUCUGUCUGUCUCUGUACAAUUUCUGCUUGGACAAAAAGUAAAAAAAAAAGAAAGUAAAAUAGCACUUAAAUAAAUAAUAAGAUAUAUGUUUUGAUGAUUAUGGACGGGAAGCCCCGGUAGCUCAUCUGGUAAAGUGGGCUGGCCCAUGUACAAAGGCCAAGUCCUUACGCAAGAGGCUAUAUUCAUAUGUAAACAAACCCCGAAACUAGAUUAAAUCUACAAAAGAAAAAUGAGAACGAUCUAAAAACAAAGUUGGGAUGUACCAAUAUUAUAUUAUAUUGAGUUUUUCGAAUGAAGCUUGAAAUGUCCUUUCUGACGUCGUCCCACUUGAAAAAUGGAAAUGUUAUUGUGGUUAUAUAAAUGUUAUUUAUU
ensembl:lncRNA